AAAUAAUGCAUCUUCCUUAUUUAGUCCAUUAUUUCUAUUUAAAGUCCCUCUAUAAACAAUCAUAAACAUUUCUGUUCUCUUGUUUUCAAGCAUUAAAGGAUGUUUGAAUUAUUUGUGCUAGGGUGUACUGGUGUUGUGAUGUUCCUUCAUGGAGCCAAUUUCUUCUUCCAUGGUCUCUCUCAUCAUAUGGCCAUUCGUUCUCUCAGCUUCUUAGGAUUUGUUGGUUGGUAAAGAAAUGUCGAGAAUGAUAAUGAUGAUCGAUCAGCUAAAGGAAGCUUGCACGAACCGCCAUGCUUUUUGUAAAUUAUAUUGGUUUAACUAAUUUUUAUUCUUUUUCAUUUGCAUUUUAAGGUAGAUAUUAUUAUAUUGUUGUGGUCCACAAUAGAAAAUGAUCGAGAAAACCUACGAUAAGAGAAUAUAUCCUGUAAAUUUUAAUCAUUGAAAGGCUUCGCCUUGCUUCAAGUGUACUCUGCUUAUUAGAUAAAAUAUUUGUCUUUUUAAUAUUUUGAUGUUUAUACUCUGAAAAUACUCCGUAACUAAGAGGGUAUUUGCCCAAACGGAAGUGAUUCAAGUGAUGAAA